rnacentral:rRNA from 1 species
AGUGAAUAGAUACCCGGGUAGUCCACGCCCUAAACUAUGUCAACUAGGUGUUGGGUGGGUAAAACCAUUUAGUACCGUAGCUAAACGCGUGAAAGUUGACCGCCUGGGGAGUACGGCCGCAAGGUUAAAACUCAAAGGAAUUGACGGGGACCCGCACAAGCGGUGGAUGAUGUGGAUUAAUUCGAUGCAACGCGAAAAACCUUACCUACCCUUGACAUGCCAGGAACUUGCCAGAGAUGGCUUGGUGCCCGAAAGGGAGCCUGGACACAGGUGCUGCAUGGCUGUCGUCAGCUCGUGUCGUGAGAUGUUGGGUUAAGUCCCGCAGCGAGCGCAACCCUUGUCGUUAAUUGCCAUCAUUUGGUUGGGCACUUUAACGAGGCUGCCGGUGACAAACCGGAGGAAGGUGGGGAUGACGUCAAGUCCUCAUGGCCCUUAUGGGUAGGGCUUCACACGUCAUACAAUGGUCGGUACAGAGGGUUGCCAAGCCGUGAGGCGGAGCCAAUCCCAGAAAGCCGAUCGUAGUCCGGAUUGCAGGCUGCAACUCGCCU